GGACUCCCUCUUCAUGUCUACUUUUACUUCAUCUACACACCCAUUACCCCAAGUGGAGAUUCUCAUUCCUUCUACCCUUUCAUCUCUGUUCUGCUCACUUAAGAAGCCGGAGGAGAUUUUUCUCCUAUAUCCUGUGGGAACCUGGUUGAGCUCCUGGAUGUAAAUCUCGGGUUCUUUCCAUGGUUUUUGCCUGUGAAUCUCUGCUCUGGGAAAACCCCCAGAUACUCUCAAAAAGAAGUGAAAGGAGAACUCAAGGAUACAAGUUUGCAGUCCUCUUAUUUCUGGACCAACUAUGUCUUUGAUGGAAGAGCAGCUCUUUAUUUACCGCAAAGGACUAACCCUACUGGAGACAUGUUACCUCUUCCCAGAAAACUUCAGCUUGCUCAUUUGGAUGGCAUAAUUAGCUAGUUUGUGGUCUGUUUUUGACACAUUUCACUAGUCUGUUAGGAUAUGCUCUAACAGACUUAGCUUCCCUCUUCCCUUUUGACCCCAGAAAUUUGCUUAACACAAUUAUUGGGACAUGACUAACCAUAACGGCACACUAGGAAAUAGUAAAAUCAUGCCAUCUGUCACCAGACAAUGCUUUGAAAACUUUCUCUCCACAUUGUUAUAAGCUCAAUAACCUUGACUGUACACCAAAUUAUGACUUUUGGUUUGGGAGCACCUGGCUGGUUUGGUCAGUAGAAUGUGUAACUCUUGGUCUCUGGAUUGUGAGUUUGAGCCCC